AUAUUGGGCCAUGGGUGAAACCCUGACCCAGCAACGCCGCGUGAGUGAAGAAGGCCUUCGGGUUGUAAAUCUCUGUCAUUAGGGGAGAAGAAAGUGACGGUACCUAAUGAGGAAGCCACGGCCAACUACGUGCCAGAAGCCGCGGUAAUACGUAGGUGGCAAGCGUUGUCCGGCAUUAUUGGGCGUAAAGGAUGCGUAGGCGGUCGUUUAAGUGGGAUGUGAAAUACCUGGGGUUAACUCAGGGAUUGCAUUCCAAACUGGGAGACUAGAGUGCAGGAGAGGAAAGUGGAAUUCCCAGUGUAGCGGUGAAAUGCGUAGAGAUUGGGAGGAACACCAGUGGCGAAGGCGACUUUCUGGACUGUAACUGACGCUGAGGCAUGAAAGCGUGGGGAGCAAACAGG
rnacentral:rRNA from 1 species